rnacentral:rRNA from 1 species
ACAUAACUGAUGCCUCCGCGUAUCGACUUUGUGUGCAUUUUAGCUAUUAUGUGUUCUUUUAAUUAAAAUGAUUCUUUUUAAGAUUCAUCUAUUAAAAAUUUGCUUCGGCAUAAUUUUUUUUGAUGAUCUUGUUACUUUGAGUAAAUUAGAGCGUUCAAAGCAAACAGAUAUAGCAUUUGUGCGUUUGAAUACUACAGCAUGGAAUAACAAAAUUGAACAAGUCAGAAUUUUUUUGUUCUUUUUUCUUAUUUUGGCUUAGUUACGAUUAAUAGGAGUAGCUUGGGGGCAUUUGUAUUCAGAUGUCAGAGGUGAAAUUCUUAGAUUUUCUGGAGACAAACAACUGCGAAAGCAUUUGCCUAAAAUACUUCCAUUAAUCAAGAACGAAAGUUAAGGGAGUGAAGACGAUCAGAUACCGUCGUAAUCUUAACCAUAAACUAUGCCGACUAGGCUUUGGAUGAAAGAUUUUAAAAUAAGAGUUUUUCUUUUCUCUCCGGAGAUUAGGACUCUUAGAUUGCUUCCUUCAGUGCCUUAUGAGAAAUCAAAGUCUUUGGGUUCUGGGGCGAGUAUUCGCGCAAGCGAGAAAGUUAAAAGAAUUGACGGAAGGGCACCACCAGGCGUGGAGCUUGCGGCUUAAUUUGACUCAACACGGGAAAACUCACUAGUUUAAGACAAGAGUAGGAUUGACAGAUUAAUAGCUCUUUCUUGAUUUCUUGGAUGGUGAUGCAUGGCCGUUUUUAGUUCGUGAAUAUGAUUUGUCUGGUUAAUUCCGAUAACGAACGAGAUCUUAACCUGCUAAUUAGCGGCAAAUACGAUAUAUUCUUAUGUAGAAUUGAAUAUAGUGGAUUUGUUGGAUUUUGAAGAAAAUAUUGGAAUUACGUUUAAAUGUGAUUCCUUUCCCUUUUCUACUUAAUUUACAUUUCCAUCUAUUUCUUUUUUGCGUAUGAAUGUAUUUGCUUGAUUGUAAAGCUUCUUAGAGGAACGAUGUGUG